rnacentral:rRNA from 1 species
AGAGUUUGAUCCUGGCUCAGGAUGAACGCUAGCGGCAGGCUUAACACAUGCAAGUCGAGGGGUAACACGGGUGCUUGCACCUGGUGACGACCGGCGGAUGGGUGAGUAACACGUAUGGAACCUGCCCCUUACUGGAGGAUAGCCCGGAGAAAUCCGGAUUAAUACUCCGUAAUAAAGGAAGUGGCAUCACUUCUUUUUGAAAGCUCCGGCGGUAAGGGAUGGCCAUGCGCCCGAUUAGCUUGUUGGUGGGGUAACGGCCCACCAAGGCGACGAUCGGUAGGGGGCCUGAGAGGGUUAUCCCCCACACUGGUACUGAGACACGGACCAGACUCCUACGGGAGGCAGCAGUGAGGAAUAUUGCGCAAUGGAGGCAACUCUGACGCAGCCAUGCCGCGUGCAGGAAGAAGGCGCUAAGCGUUGUAAACUGCUUUUGAUCGGAAAGAAACCCCGGGACGUGUCCCGGGUUGACGGUACCGGUCGAAUAAGCACCGGCUAACUUCGUGCCAGCAGCCGCGGUAAUACGAAGGGUGCAAGCGUCAUCCGGAUACAUUGGGUUUAAGGGUGCGUAGG